CUUAACUCCUAGACCAGAGAUCGAACCUCCACUCCCUGCACUGGAAGGCGAAGUCUUAACCACUGGACCGCCAGGGAAGUCCCUUGGCUGUACGGCUUUAGACAAGUCGCUACACAUCUAUGACCUCACACAUUUUUUUCUUUGUUUAAAAAACUGUUUAUUUAUUUGGCUGCCUUGGUUGCAACACGUGGGAUCUUUGUUGCAUCAUGCAGGACCUUCUCUUACAGUGCCUGGACUCUCUAGUUGAGGCACAUGGGCUCAUAAUUUCAGCUCAUAAACUUCGUUAUUCCUUGCAAUGUGGAAUCUUAGUUACCUGACCAGGUAUCAAAAUUGCAUCCCCUGCAUUCCUGCUGCUGCUGCUGCAAAGUUGCUUCAGUUGUGUCCGACUCUGUGCAACCCCAUAGACGACAGCCCACCAGGCUCCCCCGUCCAUGGGAUUCUCCAGAUUUCAAGAAGGCUGCUGUGCCUCUGUCCAUCACAUCUGUGUUCCAGGCAGAACAUGAAGCCUUCAGGGAAGUCUACAGCUGAAGGGCUUACGGUCCUCACGUGCUCUGGAAACCCACCCGGCUGCUCCGUGGAGGUUGCACCACUGAUUUAGGUGGAAGUGGCACCUCCUCCCGCCCCUCACGGCGGAGUCUCCGCCCAGUCACAACCAACAGCGUGGACCCUGGCCCUGUCCGCGCACCAGGCUCCCUUGAAAGUGAAAGCGCCUGGCGUUCCUUCCUACUUCGUCU